rnacentral:rRNA from 1 species
UGAAGUUUUCGGAUGGAUUUAAAACAGCUUAGUGGCGGACGGGUGAGUAACGCGUGAGGAACCUGCCUCAUAGAGGGGGACAACAGUUGGAAACGACUGCUAAUACCGCAUAGUAAGAAGGAUUCGCAUGUUUUCUUCUUGAAAGCUUUUGCGCUAUGAGAUGGACCCGCGUCUGAUUAGCUAGUUGGUGAGGUAACGGCCCACCAAGGCGACGAUGCAUAGCCGGCCUGAGAGGGCGGACGGCCACAUUGGGACUGAGACACGGCCCAAACUCC